rnacentral:snRNA from 1 species
AUCACUUCUCAGCCUUUUGGCUAAAAGAUCAAGUGUAGUAUCCGUUCUUAUUAGUUUAAAAGCCAGGAAAGCUGGGUUUAUGUUUUCCUGCAUCUAGAAUACUCUGGCUAAAGCAAGCUUUA